UACGAAGGGGGCUAGCGUUGCUCGGAAUCACUGGGCGUAAAGCGCACGUAGGCGGCUUUGUAAGUUAGAGGUGAAAGCCCGGGGCUCAACCCCGGAAUUGCCUUUAAGACUGCAUCGCUUGAAUUGUGGAGAGGUGAGUGGAAUUCCGAGUGUAGAGGUGAAAUUCGUAGAUAUUCGGAAGAACACCAGUGGCGAAGGCGACUCACUGGACAUAUAUUGACGCUGAGGUGCGAAAGCGUGGGGAGCAAACAGG
rnacentral:rRNA from 1 species